GAUGUCCUUCGGGCAUAGGGAUGCCCCGCCGGCAACGCCGGCGGGGCGGUGGUGUUCGCGUUGCCGCGUUGGUGUUCAGCUGGUCGGGGUGCUC
rnacentral:tRNA from 1 species